rfam:Methanosaeta thermophila PT, complete genome.
AGUCCCGUGGGGUAGGGGCCAAUCCUGCCGGCCUUUGGAGCCAGCGACGGCGGUUCGAAUCCGCCCGGGACUA